rnacentral:rRNA from 1 species
UACGAAGGGUGCAAGCGUUAAUCGGAAUUACUGGGCGUAAAGCGUGCGCAGGCGGUUUGUUAAGUCUGUUGUGAAAUCCCCGAGCUCAACUUGGGAAUUGCAAUGGAUACUGGCAGGCUGGAGUAUGGUAGAGGAAGGUGGAAUUCCCGGUGUAGCAGUGAAAUGCGUAGAGAUCGGGAGGAACACCAGUGGCGAAGGCGGCUCUCUGGUCUGUAACUGACGCUGAGGCGCGAAAGCGUGGGGAGCGAACAGG